rnacentral:lncRNA from 1 species
CUAUCAUCUCACAUCAUUACAAGAAGAAGGAUAAGUACUGUAUAAUAAGAUAAUUUCAGAGAGACACAGACCACAUUCUCAUAACUUUUAUUAUAACAUAUUGUUAUAGUUGUUCCAUUUUAUUAACAGAUAUUGUUAAUCUCUUACUGUGCCUAAUUAAUAAAUUAAACUUUAUCAUAAGUAUGUAUGUAUAGAAAAAAAGGGUAAUAUAUAUAGGGCUUGGUGCUAUCUGUGAUUUCAGGCAUCAACUGGGGCUUUGGAACACAUCCCCGAGGAUCAGAGGACUUCUGUAUGUGUGUGUAUUCUUGUUGAGUGACAGAAAAAGAGAGUUGUUUCAUAUGCAUUUACUUGGAGGCAUAGAAGACACCCUGAAAGAUAAUGUUGUUUUGAGCUGGCAUAGUCUGCAGGAAUCAGUGUUCUUUUUGGGCUAUGUUUUUGUGAUACAUCUAACUCAUGCUAAGCACCAUAAAGUUUAUAGCCCAGAGACUGGCAGCCAAUUCCUCUCGGGAAUGUACAUCCAUCCACCCUCUAUGGCUGAUUCUUUCUGAUCUCUAAGCCUGCACUGAGGCACUUACUUAGGAAAACUUUUAUCAAGUGCUUGUAAAAAUCUGAGACCGACCUCUUGCUGCAGAUUAGAAUAUCAUCAGAAGAUUUCCGUAAGCCAUGGAAGGCUUUUCUCUUCCUCAGCAGAGAGAAGAUGAAUGGUUUUACAAAUCCCUGAGGAGACUCUGUGGAGCUAUAGACAGAGAUGGAAGAUCUUCCCAUUGAAGCCGCAGGGCUCCAUCUUAGCUCUGGCAUUACAACACAAAGUCUGGAGAGAACAAAGUCAAGAAGCAUGCCUUUAGUCCAGUAUCCCUUUAUUUGGGAUUGCAGACGUUUGUGUUUAGAUGGAGACACUGCAAGAUCAAAGCAUCUUGAAAUGUAUGUACCACGGGAAAGACAGAAACUCUGGAAUGCCUCUGAGACCUGCAGCAGAGUUGGAGUGCAAGGAUUCAUCAGCACAUAG